UAGGGAAUAUUGGGCAAUGGGCGAAAGCCUGACCCAGCAACACCGCGUGAAUGAUGAAGGUCUUCGGAUUGUAAAGUUCUGUGAUGGGGGACGAAGAAAGUGACGGUACCCCAAGAGCAAGCCACGGCUAACUACGUGCCAGCAGCCGCGGUAAUACGUAGGUGGCAAGCGUUGUCCGGAAUGACUGGGCGUAAAGGGUACGUAGGUGGCUAUUCAAGUUAGUGGUGAAAUUCCGGGGCUUAACUCCGGCGCUACCACUAAGACUGUUUAGCUUGAGUGCAGGAGGGGUAAGUGGAAUUCCUAGUGUAGCGGUGGAAUGCGUAGAUAUUAGGAAGAACACCGGUGGCGAAGGCGACUUACUGGACUGUAACUGACACUGAAGUAUGAAAGCGUGGGGAGCAAACAGGAUUAGAUACCCUGGUAGU
rnacentral:rRNA from 1 species